AGAUUGAACGCUGGCGGCGUGCCUAACACAUGCAAGUCGAGCGGUAACAGGUGUAGCAAUACAUGCUGACGAGCGGCGAACGGGUGAGUAAUGCUUUGGAAUCUUCCCAGUAGUGGGGAAUAACCAGUCGAAAGAUUGGCUAAUACCGCAUACGUCUGUAAAGGGAAAGCGGGGGCUCGUAAGACCUCGCGCUAUUGGAUGAGCCAAAGUCGGAUUAGCUAGUUGGUGGGGUAAUGGCCUACCAAGGCGACAAUCCGUAGCUGGUCUGAGAGGACGACCAGCCACACCGGAACUGAGACACGGUCCGGACUCCUACGGGAGGCAGCAGUGGGGAAUAUUGGACAAUGGGGGAAACCCUGAUCCAGCGACGCCGCGUGUGUGAAGAAGGCCUGCGGGUUGUAAAGCACUUUUAGUGGGGACAAAAGCUACGGACUAAUAUUCUGUGGUCUUGAUUUAACCCAAAGAAAAGCACCGGCUAACUCUGCGCCAGCAGCCGCGGU
rnacentral:rRNA from 1 species